AAAGUUCAAAAUGAUAAAACGGUAUUUCUUGAAUUAACGCAUGUGUGAAAUUGCUUAAGGUUGCUAAUGGAGCCCGAGUCUAGUGUGAUUGAUGAUUUACUGUUAUUUGCUCUGUUUUACACUGUUUUACAGCUUUAAAUGCAUUAUGGGGUUUGAUGUGUUCAUUUUACAGAUUUGUGUGCAUAUACUACGUUUUUAUUAAUUAUGGGUUGAAUGACUGAAAAAACUGAUAUUGUAUGUUGUCUGUUGAUAUGAAUUACGAUUUGCUUGUUUAAAUGUGAAUUGAUGAUGUUGAUUGAGGAAAAGGAAAAUGAAAGAUUGUUUAGACUGAUAAUUGUAUUAUGGGGGGUCAGCCUGACUAGAUAUCCUGGGAGAUGGUGGACGGACCGGGUCCGUAGGGAACCCUACCGGGAUUGUGGUCUCACAUGCCGGACGGGGUAUGGAGAUCUUAUGGUUUUGGCGCCCAUACCGGACGGGGUAUGGGGACGGCCCGUUUCACCCUCAUACCGGACGGGGUAUUGAGGUUUAUGGUUUUGGCGCCCAUACCGGACGGGGUAUGGGGACGGCCCGUUUCACCCUCAUACCGGACGGGGUAUUGAGGUUCAUGGUUUUGGCGCCCAUACCGGACGGGGUAUGGGGACGGCCCUGGAAACUGAUUAUGAAUGUUAAAGGUUAACGGGUAGCGGAACCCCUAUGGACCCCCACGGAUACUAGUAGGCUGGUAAAUGAGAAAAAGGGAUAUGUUGUACAAUGAUUGAAUUACAAGAGGCGUGAUAAGUGUUAUGUUUUACAGCUUAGAUUAUUCAAUGAUUAUGAUGAUGUUAUUGUUUUUCUCAUAUUGUUUUCAUAAAUUCCACCAAGGUAAGUGGAUGGUAAAGGUUUUCAUGUUA
rnacentral:lncRNA from 1 species